CCGGCCUCCUGGCCACGGGAAGUGAUGCCUCCUGGGCUCGUUUGAGCAGCUGUUGCUUGCAAGGCCUGGCUCAGAUAAACAGGCAGAUGUCCUCGGGGCGACCUCCCUGACUCAGAGAGUUUGGGAACUGAGGUAUUCAGUCCCUGGGGGGGGGGGGGGGGGGUUAGGAGGCAAGGACAGGACUUGUGCUGCUGACUCACUCUUCUCAAUGCCUCUGUUCUGAUUCUUGGGCGGCAGGAAAGACCUGGGAACCGAAGGAGCCAUCUGCGCAGGAUGGGGUCCGGGGCAGAAGAAGGGCGUGUUCUCCUCUCACCCAUGCUACCCUGCGUCUCUUCCAGGACGGCCACAGGCCAGGGCCAAUUUCUUGCAUUCACGACACAGCAAACAGUGCAAGGUCUUCGGGUGUUACAGCAGAUGGGAAGAGGAGGGAGAUGAUCCUAUGACAUCAGAGAGAGGCAGAGCCAGGACAAGAGCUUCUGACUCUGGCCUCCUCACACCCAGGGUCCCAUGUCCUGUGGCCUUGCCUGCUCCAGGUGCGCUGUGGCCAGUGCUGUGGGGGUCGCAGCAGCCCAGCCUGGGCCUGGUGUUCCUUGAGAAUUCUCCACUAGUCCUGGCCUACGAUUGUGGCUUGGAGAAAGCCCUGCUGUCAUCCUUGACGCUGCCCUCUAGUACCUGCUGUUCAAACUCAGGUCUGAGGACCAGCAGCAGCUGCUUCCCCUAGGAACUCAGCAGAAAUGCUGAAUCUCAGGCCCCACCCAAGACAUACUGAAUCAGACUCUGCACUUCACCAAGAUUCCCAGGUGAGUCAUAUGGGAAUGAACGUGUGCAAAGCAGUGUGAUUUCUGAUGCAUACAGCUGGCCUCUCUUGCCCUGCCCUGGGGGAGAUGAGUCACUUCCUA
rnacentral:lncRNA from 12 species